rnacentral:rRNA from 1 species
AGUGAACGCUGGCGGUAGGCCUAACACAUGCAAGUCGAACGGCAGCACAGUAAGAGCUUGCUCUUACGGGUGGCGAGUGGCGGACGGGUGAGGAAUACAUCGGAAUCUACUUUUUCGUGGGGGAUAACGUAGGGAAACUUACGCUAAUACCGCAUACGACCUACGGGUGAAAGCAGGGGAUCUUCGGACCUUGCGCGAUUGAAUGAGCCGAUGUCGGAUUAGCUAGUUGGCGGGGUAAAGGCCCACCAAGGCGACGAUCCGUAGCUGGUCUGAGAGGAUGAUCAGCCACACUGGAACUGAGACACGGUCCAGACUCCUACGGGAGGCAGCAGUGGGGAAUAUUGGACAAUGGGCGCAAGCCUGAUCCAGCCAUACCGCGUGGGUGAAGAAGGCCUUAGGGUUGUAAAGCCCUUUUGUUGGGAAAGAAAAGCAGCAGGUUAAUACCCCGAUGUUCUGACGGUACCCAAAGAAUAAGCACCGGCUAACUUCGUG